AUUGAACGCUGGCGGCAGGCCUAACACAUGCAAGUCGAACGAGUGGCGGACGGGUGAGUAAUGUCUGGGAAACUGCCUGAUGGAGGGGGAUAACUACUGGAAACGGUAGCUAAUACCGCAUACCAUCGGAUGUGCCCAGAUGGGAUUAGCUAGUUGGUGGGGUAAAGGCCUACCAAGGCGACGAUCCGUAACUGGUCUGAGAGGAUGAUCGGUCACACUGGAAUGGAGACAGGGCCCAGACUCCUACGGGAGGCAGCAGUGGGGAAUAUGUGAAAAUGGUCGAAGGCUUGUCCAACCCAUGCCGCGUGUGUGAAGAGGGUCUUCGUAUUGUAAAGCCUUUUAAGUUGGGAGGCGUUACCAACAGAAUAUGCACCGGCUAACUUCGUGCCAGCAGCCGCGGUAAUUC
rnacentral:rRNA from 1 species